AUUAAUCGUGAAGGACACCUGAUACUCUAUCAAAGGGUGCUUUGUAUUAUAACUAAUAAAAUUAGAGAUUUUAUUGUUACAAUUGCCUCCUAUGAGACUUUACUUAUAACUACAAACUGAGUCGCAAACAAGAACAACCACAAGGGAGUCUCCUGAAGAACUUUAACCUGCCGACUGCUACACGUGGCAAGGACACACCAAGGAACAACUGAACUGAACUAUUGUCUUUUGAAGAAUCACUAGGAUUUAUAAGCGUGAGUUGGGAACAAGAGGUUUUAAACACAACCUUCACACACCAGCAGCAGUCAGAGACAAGGCUGAAAAUAAGAAAAAUGACAGAUCAUGAAGAAAGAAUUUGCGAUCUGGAAGAAAAAACGGAAGACAUAGAAAGAGAAACAAAAGAUCUGGAAAACAAAACAGAUGAGCUUACAAAACAGAAAAGAGAUCUGGAAAACAAAACAGAUGAACUUAAAGAAAAAACUGAAAAUCUGGAAAGACAAACAAAAGAUCUGGAAAACAAAACAGAUGAGCUUACAAAACAGAAAAGAGAUCUGGAAAACAAAACAGAUGAACUUGAAGAAAAAACAAAAGAUCUGGAAAACAAAACAGAUGAGCUUACAAAAAAGAAAAGAGAUCUGGAAAACAAAACAGAUGAACUUGAAAGAAAGAAAAGAAAUCUGGAAUACAAAACAGAUGAACUUGAAGAAAAAACAAAAGAUCUGGAAAACAAAACAGAUGAGCUUGCAAAAAAGAAAAGAGAUCUGGAAAACAAAACAGAUGAACUUGAAGAAAAAACAAAAGAUCUGGAAAACAAAACAGAUGAGCUUGAAAAAAAGAAAAGAGAUCUGGAAGAAAAGACAGAGAAUCUGGAAAGACAAGCAAAAGGUCUGGAAUACAAAAUAGGAGAGCUUGAAAGAAAUAAAAGAGAUCUGAAAUACCAAACAGAUGAGCUUGAAGGAAAAACAGAAAAUCUAGAAAGAAGAAUUCAAAAUCUGGAAGCAAGAUUUUGGCCCUGAUCUGAAGAUAGAAGUGACGAUUGAAGAAGUGCUGCUAAACAUGAGAGUCUGUGUUUGGGAACUGAUUGGGAACUCAUGAAGACAUCAAGCUCUGACCAAAUUUAAAGCAGUCACACACACACACCACACACACACACAAACACACUCAAAAAAAGCCAUUGUUCACUGUUACUACACUGUUUUUAUGCAUAUGUUGUCACAGCGAAUCUUGCCAUUAAACUAUAAUAAUGUAUUGCAGUGUGUUUUGUGUGUGCGCGUUUACACAAAAUCUAUUACUAAUAUCAUAUUACUAAAAAAAAUAUAGAUUUGAGAACAGAAUUCACAAAUAUAACUCUAUAUAGCAUAAACCACUGUUAGUGAAAACAAUCAUUUAUUCCAUUUAAUUUUUCUUUUUUAAUUAUUUUAAUGUUACUGAGACUUCCUCCUAGGACAACUAGUCUAGUCUGUUAUAUAGUUGUGUUUAUAUUUGUAUUACAAGUUCUUGAAGUAAUAGCUUUUAAUAGAGUAACACAAUCUGGAAAAGCAAUAUAUAAAGUUUUUAAAUAUAAUAAAUAUACAUUUCUGUAGUUUUCUAAAAUAUUUAAUUGGGUAGAAAGUGUUAUUUUUACAAAUGCUUAUCCAGGAAUCAUGAACUACUGGAAAAGUCAUGUUAAUUCAUUGGUCAAAAAGAGUGGAGAACCCUGAAAAAUAUUCUGUUAUUGAAUAUCGUCUUUGAAAUAGAGACACACCAUUAACUGCAUAUAGCUUUACUUUUCUGUCUGUCCAUCUGUCUGUCAAACCCAGAGUAAAGCAAUGUUUCACACUUGUAACUUUGAAUGGGGUUUAUGGGUUAUGAUACAGAGCAGGUUUAGCACUGCUUUUGCAGGAGUGAUGCAUUCAUUGAAGUGAAGAAGAGACCUUUUUUAUUUGUGCAGUUAUGGUCCAAAAACCAUCAGAAAUAUAGGAGCCCAACUAAUGCACAAGAGCAGGACAAGCCGUUAUUUAAACAGAUCAUUUGGUGUAUUCAUCCAAUCAAAGACACUGACAGUGGAAAUAUGAAUACGAAUUUUAAUCAGGUGUCUGAAUUUCCAGGAUUCGUUCUUAACCCAGGAUGAAGACUGAACAGUGUGAAACAUGGAAAAAGAUAAGCCAGGAUUCUGUUGACCUAGGUUUAGAAUGAACCAGGGGUAACGUGUGUGUGUAAAGCCCUAUAGAGUAGAUUGGUAUUACCAUGGUACCAUUUAAAGUGCAUCAUUUAUUACUAUGGUAUAUAUUGAAGUACCAUGCUUUUACAAUCAUCAUUGUGCCAUGGUUUCAGAGUGGACAAAUCAGUCAGUUAACAAAAUGAAUGAAACAAUUAAAGACGUACUAAUGAAGAUACAAGGUACAACAUUAAAUAUGAUCACAUUCUUUCAAAACAGCUAAAUUUGUACAAACGGUUCAAAAUAUAAUGAUUAUAAUAGUGAUUAAACUAGUGAUGUCAGACAAAUGUGAUUUGAGUGGUGUUUGUUUGGUUUCUGUUUGUAUCUUCCAUUUAAAAAAUUCUUUAAAAGUCAUUUAACUAUGCUAACUUACUAACCCCAACAUAACUUUAAUCAUGAAGUAACAAAAUGUAGGAAAUAUGUUUUUGACUGAGUUUUGUUAUUCAUGUUUAUGUUCAUGCAAGAGUUGGAAUUCAACAUUUAACAACAGCUGUUCUGUUUUCCUGCAGAUCACCUGAGUAGGUGCGUGACACAUGAGGGUGCAGCACUCUGCCUUCAAUGCUUUUCCACUGUUUUGUAGUAAUUUACAUAAUUGGAAAUGGCUCACAUGUCAGCUACCAUUUGUUUGACUUUCCUUUUGACAAUCGGUAUCGCAAAUAUAUUACAGGAUCUUUUAUGCUUUCAAGUAGCAGCCAUGUAACAUUUUGUACUAAUUCAUAGAGU